UACGGAGGGUGCAAGCGUUGUUCGGAUUUAUUGGGCGUAAAGCGAGUGUAGGCGGUUUGACAAGUCGGGUGUGAAAUCCCAGGGCCCAACCCUGGAACUGCGUCCGAUACUGUCAGGCUAGAGUUCCGGAGAGGGUGGCGGAAUUCCCGGUGUAGGGGUGAAAUCCGUAGAUAUCGGGAGGAACACCAGUGGCGAAGGCGGCCACCUGGACGGUGACUGACGCUGAGACUCGAAAGCGUGGGUAGCAAACAGGAUUAGAUACCCUGGUAGUCCACGCCGUAAACGGUGAGUGCUCGUCGUAGUGGGUAUUGACCCCUGCUGUGACCAAGCUAACGCAUGAAGCACUCCGCCUGGGAAGUACGGUCGCAAGACUAAAACUCAAAGAAAUUGACGGGGGCCCGCACAAGCGGUGGAGCAUGUUGUUUAAUUCGAAGCAACGCGCAGAACCUUACCUGGAUUUGACAUCUCCGGAAUCUCUCUGAAAGGAGAGAGUGCCUUCGGGAACCGGAUGACAGGUGCUGCAUGGCUGUCGUCAGCUCGUGUCGUGAGGUGUUGGGUUAAGUCCCGCAACGAGCGCAACCCCUAUCGUUAGUUGCUAGCAGUUCGGCCGAGCACUCUAGCGAGACUGCCGGUGUUAAACCGGA
rnacentral:rRNA from 1 species